rnacentral:lncRNA from 1 species
AAGAAAGCAGCUGAUGAACCUACUGUAGGUGAGAAAAGAAAGAGAGAAGUUUUUGAAGCUGACAAAAAUUUAACUGCUACUGGUAUUGUAGAACAGUCUGAGAACGUUCUCAACCUUGCUUCCUCUGCAAAUCACAGUUUGGAACCUACUCCAACAAUUUCUGUUCCUUUUGUUAAUCUUGAUGUCUCACUUGGAUUUGACUCAAGCUUUGGAUUAAGCAACCAACCCACUCUUUCCCAAAAUGCUGCACAUGUCCUUGAAGGAUUAUCCACCAAUCCAAGGUUCACCAACAAAGCUCUUUUUUCUCC